GCCGGGCGCGGUGGUGCACACCUGUGAUCCCAGCAGCUUGGGAGGCUGAGGCAGGAGGAUUGUGAGUUCAAAGCCAGCCUCAGCAACAGCGCAGUGCUAAGCAACUUAGUGAGACCCUGUCUCUA
rnacentral:sRNA from 1 species